GGAAGACCCGGUAUUGGUGCUACUCACUCAUCAAGGUUCAUUCCUCUGAAGUAAUAUGGGAUGUUAGGUUAUCUCGUGCUGUCUUUUGCUACAAUUUUGAUGUAGGUCUUCGAUUAUGAAAAAUUAAGUUUGGAAUAGGUGUGGUCAGCUGAUAAAUAUCAUUUUUAUUUGUUUCUGUCACAACAUUGUUGUCUCUUAGACUUAAUUCUUUUUAAAUGCUCAAUUUAAGAGGGCAUUUUGAUGCUCACAAGCCUUUAGUGCUCAAGUUCUCUCCUGUUUUUAUAGCACUUUCAAGUAUUUUCCUGAUUUCUUAAACAUUUG
rnacentral:misc_RNA from 1 species